rnacentral:lncRNA from 1 species
AGUGAUUACAAGAGUAUAAGUUUGAAAUAUAUGCUAGCUCAAAUGACCAUCCUCAGUAAGAAGAUAAAGACUGGGUAUACUUAUAUAAGAAGGCCGAGCCCACCGGCACUUAACACCAUCACAGCAGCACAAAGUUAUAUCCUGAAAAACAACAGGGAAUAAAACCCUGAGUAUGGAAUUACUCAGCAAGACUUACCCGACUAAAGAAAAGACUCUCAAGGAUAUGCUGGAUUUGGGAAUCAAGGAGAGGCUUUAGCAAGAAUCAACUUAGAUACUUUCGCAGAAAUAGCUUACUAAAGUGAGUCCUUACUUUCAAUAUUUUAACGCUAGAUUAAAUAUUAAUAGACUCUGUUUGCAUCUAGUCUAAUUUCACCAUCUCAUCAAUACAACAUCAUUUUUAUUCAUGAGGUUCACAUCCUGACUUAGGUUGCAGGUCGGAGAUCAAGUCUCCACUCUCCGGGGAUAUAACGGCGAUCCGAAUCGAUUUACUCAGCUGAGGAUCUCUAACCACACAACAUAUGUAGCACUUAACCCUUGCAUAUGUCAACCGUUCCCACAGAUCCUCCACAACGUGAACCGGUCCGCGCUACCCGGGAGCACAGUACUCCUCCAUCCAACCUCUAGCCAGAAGGGUACACGCUACUCCCACCAUCUCCCACGCCCAGUGCGCGGUUGUCUUUUCACGUAUGGAAUAGCCGGGUUCAAGCUUACCCUGUCCCAUUUCCAGGGCAUGUGGCUAGUUAAGAUAGUCCUUGAUCAACAGGCCUACAUACGCAUCCAAUCCUUAAUUGACCCGGACGGAACAUCACCUGUUCCUAGCCCAAGUCCCGAUUUAAGUACUUCCACCCUUAGGAUUGUUUGUGUUCCUAAGGAUGAAAAGAGCAUCACAGGGAACUUUACAGUAAGAUCCCACCAUUGCUCCUAAUGAAAAUAUUCUUGCAGGCAGAAGCCAUCCUUCCUCAGGAUAACCCCUGACCUAGGCAUUAACGCAAAGGACAACCUCUAUCCACAAGAUUUACCUCUAAGCAAGGCUAAGCAAUUUUGUAAACCAUAUUUUGAUACUUCAUCAGAAGUAUCUAUAAAGGUAUGGAUAUCAAGGUAGGCAAUGCAUCAAAGGGUUUCCAAGCAACUCCUAUAAACCUAAUGCACAUUUCACUAGACUUAAAGUGUGCAAAAAUUAUUUAAAAACACAAAGAAGUGGUUGCAUGCACCGGGGCUUGCCUUUGUUGCAAUGAAGUGGUUCUAGAUCCCUCUAUCCAAUACCCAGUUAGAUGGCUUCAUCCACUUGAGGAGCAGGCAUUGGAGUAGACUUCUUUAAAUACCACCUCGUCUAGGUGUUCUACAAGUCAAUUACAAAUGCAUGAAUGCUUAUCUAAUGACAUGUAAUGCAAACUCUCACAAGGAGAGGUGGGGAACAGAAACACUACAACUAAAGCACAUGACAAGAAUGCACCUAUUUCUUAACGCUCGAUUAAAGUGACCAAUUUGAAUUCACUUAGAUAAACCAGGGAACUAAUCCAACUUAUAUCUCAUCCAAAACCUUAAAACUUCUUAAGCAACUUUAUCUCUUCCCUAGAUAAACUUAUCUCCUUUCCAAAGCACUAACCCACACUGAACUGCUAUUACAGCUAACUGAAUAAAAUUCAGUCAGAGUCAAUCUGGCAGUCCAGUUUUGGACAGCUGUUAUUUCCUACUUUAUGUGGAUUCAAGCCUAACUUGCUUAAAGGGAUUUGUUCCUUAUAACAUGGUCUUUCACUUUGCUAUAACAUUCCUACCCCAAUUCUUCUUGGAUUAAUUACCACAAGGACCCAAAUUGAAUAAAAACACACAAAUUCAGACUUAAAUAUUAUUCUAAGUCUGAAUCCUAACACCUGACAGUCCACCUUUUGGCCACUUUUACUUCCAAAUUUAUGUGGAACCAAGUCCACCUCACUUUAUAAAACUUGCUCUCUUUACUAUGGUCUCCAGCUUUGCUAUGGAAACUUUAAUCCAAUACCCCAUGAAUCAGUCACAAAUGAAUUCCAAACUAGGCAUCCUGCUGCAAUUCAGUUUUCAGAAAUGAAUAAAAAUUCUGUUAUGUGUCCAGCCAGACAGACAAACUUUAGCCAACCCUUUUCUCCAAUUUUUACAAAGCAACAGACCAAACUCACAUAACCAAAGUUAUUCCUUAGAUAUAGCUCUACUACUUUGGUAUAGUACCCCUAGGUUGAAAACAUUCAGAACAAUUUUUAUGAAGCACCAAAAUAGAGCUCAACACACUAGAACCUAGUUUCAGCCUUCUGCACUAAGUCUGGGAUCCAAAAAUCCAACAGCCUAUUUUUUUGAGCGAAUUUUACACCUAGUUCCCAGCAACAGACAGUGGUAGAGUACAAGUAGUAAAUGGUGUGAGCUUCACUGACCUAAGGAGAACACGAAACUUGCACUGUACAGCUGGGGAAUCGCUUGUGAUUGCUUGACCGCGGCGAGGUGGGCACUUGGAUGACCCUGGUCACCACACAGGAGGUUGACACUCAGCUCAGGAACAACUUAACUCUACAGUAAGGGAGAGGACUAACACUGGCUGGAACACCAGAACAACUUCACCCUUGCAGUGGUUAUUGGUUAGAGCUCGAUGGGCAAGGAGUAUUCUUUACUGGACCAUGCCCUAUAAAUACUUGAAUAUGGGGCAAGGUGUUCCUGACAUGUUUGACAUGCAGCUAAGGUGUCCUCGCAUGGUGCCAGCAACAUAUCAGCUAGCCUACGUGGCUCACAUGCCCUCAUACAACACCAGCACCCAGCCCUAAUUUAAACAUUGAACCUGGUCAACUAGCACACAAAUAUCCCUUGUGGAUAUGCUCUAACAGCCCAAAAUAUCAACCUAUUUCAGUGAACACAGAUAGGCAGACGUGUGGCUGAGAACACCACUUGUGGCUAAACACAAAGAGGUCCAAGACUUGAUAUUUCUGCUGGGGUAGCCACUAGAACCUUUGUGGUGCAGUUUACUUCAUCAAAUAACCAGCAGAUAAGGUCUUGACUGCAUGUUGUUUCCCAAAACAAUGCAGAAUUACUUGGAUAAUUUUUAGUGGGGAGGGG